CUUCCGUAGGUGAACCUGCGGAAGGAUCAUUACUGUGAUUUAUAUCUUAUACACAUGCGUGAGCGCACCAAACACCUAAAAUUGUAAUACUACCAGUCACUAAGUUUUAACAAAACAAAACUUUCAACAACGGAUCUCUUGGUUCUCGCAUCGAUGAAGAGCGCAGCGAAAUGCGAUACCUAGUGUGAAUUGCAGCCAUCGUGAAUCAUCGAGUUCUUGAACGCACAUUGCGCCCCAUGGUAUUCCAUGGGGCAUGCCUGUCUGAGCGUCGUUUCCUUCUUGCGCAAGCAGAGUUGAGAACAGGCUAUGCCUUUUUCGAAAUGGAACGUCGUGGACGAAGUGAACUAAACAUUUAGCACGCUUUGGCCGCCGAACUUUUAACUAAGCUCGACCUCAGAUCAGGUAGGAAUACCCGCUGAACUUAAGCAUAUCAAUAAGCGGAGGAA
rnacentral:rRNA from 1 species